UACGGGGGGGUGCGAGCGUUGUCCGGAAUCACUGGGCGUAAAGGGCGCGUAGGUGGCUUUGUAAGUUUUGCGGUGAAAGCCCGGGGCUCAACCCCGGGUCUGCCGUGGAUACUGCAAGGCUUGAGUACUGUAGAGGCAGGUAGAAUAUCGGGUGUAGCGGUGGAAUGCGUAGAGAUCCGAUAGAAGACCGGUGGCGAAGGCGGCCUGCUGGGCAGUAACUGACACUGAGGCGCGACAGCGUGGGGGAGCAAACAGG
rnacentral:rRNA from 1 species